GAUCAUGGCUCAGGACGAACGCUGGCGGCGUGCUUAACACAUGCAAGUCGAACGAGGUUAUUGGAGAGCUUGCUCGAAGGUAACCGAGUGGCGGACGGGUGAGUAACGCGUGAACAAUCUGUCUCACACAGGGGAAUAACGCAUCGAAAGAUGUGCUAAUACCGCAUAGGACCACGAAGUCGCAUGGCUUUGAGGUGAAAGGAGCAAUCCGGUGUGAGGUGAGUUCGCGUCUGAUUAGAUAGUUGGUGAGGUAACGGCCCACCAAGUCAACGAUCAGUAGCCGACCUGAGAGGGUGAUCGGCCACAUUGGGACUGAGACACGGCCCAGACUCCUACGGGAGGCAGCAGUGGGGAAUAUUGGGCAAUGGGCGCAAGCCUGACCCAGCAACGCCGCGUGAAGGAAGAAGGUUUUCGGAUCGUAAACUUCUGUCCUAUGAGAAGAUAAUGACGGUAUCAUAGGAGGAAGCCCCGGCUAACUACGUGCCAGCCGCGGC
rnacentral:rRNA from 1 species